rnacentral:sRNA from 1 species
GGAGAGACAUGGAAAAUAAGCCCUUCUUCCUUUCUCCCCUGGGGCUUGUGAACAGCUUAGCUAAGAGGCAGAGCUGUGCUGGGGGCCAGUCGUGCUAGGUUCCUAUCCUAGCUUUGCCACUUAUGAGCUGCAUGAUCUUGGAGAAGUCACAUCGCCUCUCUGAGCCUUGGUGCCUUCACCUGCCAAAUGAGAUCAAGUGCUUAGAGCAAUACUUGGCAGAUCAUAAGUACUCAAAAGACAGUGGCUGUGAUUGCUUUCACUAUUUUGCAGCCCAGUAGGACGAGGGCAGUACAUUCUGUGCUGUUGAACCUGUCACCCACUGGGUGAGCAAUAAUGGUACUUCCUUCAGACCAAGGCUUCAAAAUCCUAGGAAAUGUUCUCCAGGGCCCUGAGCCUUACAGGCUCCUGACCUCUGGCCUCCGUCUCCACCAGGAACUGGAGAACCUGAACAAGUGGGGCCUGAACAUCUUUUGCGUGUCGGAUUAUGCCGGAGGCCGCUCGCUCACCUGCAUCAUGUACAUGAUAUUCCAGGAGCGGGACCUGCUGAAGAAAUUCCGCAUCCCUGUGGACACGAUGGUGACAUACAUGCUGACGCUGGAGGAUCACUACCACAUGGAUGUGGCCUACCAUAACAGCCUGCACGCAGCUGACGUGCUGCAGUCCACCCACGUACUGCUGGCCACGCCUGCGCUAGAUGCAGUGUUCACGGACCUGGAGAUUCUCGCCGCCCUCUUCGCGGCUGCCAUCCACGAUGUGGAUCACCCUGGGGUCUCCAACCAGUUCCUCAUCAACACCAAUUCGGAGCUGGCGCUCAUGUACAACGAUGAGUCGGUGCUCGAGAAUCACCACCUGGCCGUGGGCUUCAAGCUGCUGCAGGAGGACAACUGCGACAUCUUCCAGAACCUCAGCAAGCGCCAGCGGCAGAGCCUACGCAAGAUGGUCAUCGACAUGGUGCUGGCCACGGACAUGUCCAAGCACAUGACCCUCUUGGCUGACCUGAAGACCAUGGUGGAGACCAAGAAAGUGACCAGCUCAGGGGUCCUCCUGCUGGAUAACUACUCCGACCGCAUCCAGGUCCUCCGGAACAUGGUGCACUGUGCAGACCUCAGCAACCCCACCAAGCCGCUGGAGCUGUACCGCCAGUGGACAGACCGCAUCAUGGCUGAGUUCUUCCAGCAGGGUGACCGUGAGCGCGAGCGUGGCAUGGAAAUCAGCCCCAUGUGUGACAAGCACACUGCCUCCGUGGAGAAGUCUCAGGUACAGGCUCGGGGCAUUGAUGGACGGGGACAGGGUGGGUUUUAUCGACUACAUUGUGCACCCAUUGUGGGAGACCUGGGCGGACCUUGUCCACCCAGAUGCCCAGGAGAUCCUGGACACUUUGGAGGACAACCGGGACUGGUACUACAGCGCCAUCCGGCAGAGCCCGUCUCCACCACCCGAGGAGGAGUCAAGGGGGCCAGGCCACCCACCCCCGCCUGACAAGUUCCAGUUUGAGCUGACGCUGGAGGAGGAAGAAGAGGAAGAAAUAUCAAUGGCCCAGAUACCAUGCACAGCCCAAGAGGCAUUGAUAGCGCAGGGAUUGUCAGGAGUCAAGGAAGCUCUGGAUGCAACCAUGGCCCGGGAGGCAUCCCCGGCCCAGGAGUCAUUGGAAGUUAUGGCACAGGAAGCAUCCCUGGAGGCCGAGCUGGAGGAAGUGUAUUUGACACAGCAGGCACAGUCCACAGGCAGUGCACCUGUGGCUCAGGAUGACUUCUCGUCCCAGGAGGAAUCC